GUCAGUUCCUGACCUUUGACCUCACCCAAAGUCCAUCUGAGAGAACACUUCCUGAGCAGAAUGAGACCAGGACUGGUGCCGAUGUUUCAACAACAACAACAACAACCUGCUUCCGAUAUCAAUUAUGAAAAAUGCAUUGGACAGAACCAGAGGUCAACGGUCAGAGUGUCUCUGCCUGGGAACAUGGCGGAGAAGAGGAGGAGCCGUCACACCUGUAGCAGCAGGUGUUCACCUUCCAACGUGUUACAUUUGUUCGUCGUGUUAAGUGUUCAAAAAUCCCCGGGUGCUGAACCGAAGAAAAUGUCCGGAGUCAAAAAGUUAUAAUCAAAUGUAUUUAAUAAAAAGUAUUACGAAUA